rnacentral:lncRNA from 12 species
ACAGGAUUUUAAAAUCCAGCUCCAGACCAUGCCAGGCUUAAACUUCUCAUUUUUUUUAAAAAAAGAUUUUAUUAAUUUAUUCCUGAGAGACAGAGAGAGAGAGAGGCAGAGACACAGGCAGAGGGAGGAGAAGCAGGCGCCCUGCAGGGAGCUUGAUGCAGGACUCGAUCCCAGGACCCUGGGAUCACGCCCUGACCAAAGGCGGACGCUCAACCACUGAGCCCCCCAGGUGCCCAAACUUCUCAUUUUUUUUAAAGAGAGAAAACUCAGACCCAGAGAGGCUGAAGGCCUGACUGAAAAUGAGUCUGCAAGGAAGCCACAGCCACGGGCCUGAACUCAAGGGCCCUGGUGCCCAGUCCGUGGCUUCAAGCGCGUCUUUGUCAGAGAUUCAUCUUGGCCACGGGUGGAUUCUUGUUGCAUCGUGGGAAUUUGUGAACGAGAAUUUAAGCCACAAUCGCACUGACGAUGGAGGAUUUGUACGGAGGAUGCACCCACUUCUUACCCAGGCUUCCUAAGGAGUGGGACAGCAUCAGGAAGCCCUGUGACGGGGAGCUGGGCAUGUCUGGGAAAAGCAGAAAUCCUGAGAGGAGCCAGCAGAAGGCCUCUGAGGGAGAACAAGCGGUCCAGGGAGCCAGCCCCAGACCUUGAUAUUUAAAGCAGUUGUCCACAGACAUAAUGCCUUUAGUUUGAUCAAAGCGCAGGCCACACAAUCCCCGAGAACAGGAAGGCUGACCAGGGCUGGGGGGAAGGGUCCUUUGUCCUCGAGGCCUGGAGGCCUGGGGCAGGGCUGAGGCCCGGCCUGUCCUCCUCCCUAUUCCCACCCCUGCCCCCUGCCCUCCUGGCUCCCCCACCCCAAGGAAUCGCAGAUCCUCGCCCACUCCCCACCCUCUGUGUGGGUGCAUUUUCUUCAGCACCGUCCUCCAAACCAUUUCCUCCAGCCCCACAGGCUUUGCUGGAAAGUUCCCUGUGUGAUUCCGCAGUCAGAAAAGAGCCUGCUACUAAGAGCGAAGCCAGAGUCACUGACUCUGCUUUCGACACCCAUGCACUUGACACAACUGGAGGAAAAUGUUUUUUUACCUGGAGAACAACACAGAGAGUAACACGGAAUGAACCAAAUGCCUGA